UUCCCUCUAAAAAGCAGAAAACACAGCAGCUUCGCACCGCCACCUGCCGCCCCACCCGACCGUCGCGCCACCUGACGUCCCACCCCACCCCACCGUCUCUCCACCUGCCGUCCUACCCCACCCCACCGUCGCACCAACGGUCGUCCCACCCCACCAUCGCACAACUGACGCCUCCGCCACCAAGCCCUCCGCAGCGCCAUCCUCUGACUCCCUCUGCUGUCGUCGACGACGAGGUGAGCGUUUCAGGUGAAAUUUUUUACAAUCUUCUCUGUGUCGUUCGUCCGCCCGUCGCCGUUCGUCCGCCUGCCGCCGUUUCACCGCCGCCAGCACCCUCUUCUUCGCGCACGUCGGUGAAGCCCUAAAAUCCCUAAAUCCCCAAAUUCUUCCUCUCACCUAAAGUCCCUAAAAUUGAAAUUCCCAAACCAUAGUGUUGACGCCGACGACCUCCGCUCCGGUCAGCCACUGCUUUCAACUAUUUGUUGAAAGAGGGCAGAACAUUCUGUUCUUAUUUCUCGAAUAAGUGCUGAGAGGUGGACAAAAGUGUAGAGUUGAAGAAAUUGGGAGCAAGGUACUCCAUCAAAAUUAAAAGUGGAAAAAGAAUGUUUCUCGCCAUACCCUACAGCAGCUACUCCACCAGCUGUAACUUAUGACUGAAAUUAAUCGAGGCUUUGCUGUUCUGAGGGACAUUGCGCCCGGAAAGGCUUUGCUUCAAGGAAUUAAUGCACCAACGUCGCAGUCGUUCUUGAAUUAUGUAUUAUUGGUAUUGGUCUAUAGAAGCAUUAUGCUCUAUUGAAGACGACCUCUGAAGGUUUGUGGUGGAUUAAAUGAGCCGUACGUUGAGCUGAAGAGGCUUGUGAAUUCACAAGAAAUGUUGUACCAUAUGGCUAGCUAGUUGCAUAUUUAGUAUUUUUGUAAGGC